rnacentral:rRNA from 1 species
GAGAGGAAGGUCCCCCACACUGGUACUGAGACACGGACCAGACUCCUACGGGAGGCAGCAGUGAGGAAUAUUGGUCAAUGGGCGGAAGCCUGAACCAGCCAAGUAGCGA